rnacentral:rRNA from 1 species
GACGAACGCUGGCGGCGUGCUUAACACAUGCAGGUCGAACGGAAAGGCCCUGCUUUUGUGGGGUGCUCGAGUGGCGAACGGGUGAGUAACACGUGAGUAACCUGCCCUUGACUUUGGGAUAACUUCAGGAAACUGGGGCUAAUACCGGAUAGGAGCUCCUGCUGCAUGGUGGGGGUUGGAAAGUUUCGGCGGUUGGGGAUGGACUCGCGGCUUAUCAGCUUGUUGGUGGGGUAGUGUCUUACCAAGGCUUUGACGGGUAGCCGGCCUGAGAGGGUGACCGGCCACAUUGGGACUGAGAUACGGCCCAGACGCAUACGGGAGGCAGCAGUGGGGAAUAUUGCAAAAUGGGCGGAAGCCUGAUGCAGCAACGCCGCGUGCGGGAUGACGGCCUUCGGGUUGUAAACCGCUUUCGCCUGUGACGAAGCGUGAGUGACGGUAAUGGGUAAAGAAGCACCGGCUAACUACGU